UUCUCUGUCUCGAAUCCGCAACCGGUGACCCCGUAUCAAACAUAGCGACCAACACCUCACAUGACGUAUUCUCGAUGUUGAGGUAUUGACAAUACACAAUCACAUUUAUCGAUAUACAGCAAGUAAGGCUAGUAAUUUGGUGUUGAAUGCUAGUAGAUCAGAAUUUUUCAAUUGAACUUUCCCAGUUUAAGGGGCACUAGCUGCCAAAUUCAUGUUCUUCAUCGAUUUUAAUAAAAUUCAAAUAACGUGUAUAUAGUGUUGAAUUGUUUAUUAAAAUGUUACGCACAAUCUUGGCUGAUAUGCAUAAAACCAUUAUAUUUCAUGACAGUGCAUGAAAAAGAAAUUGACUUGAUUAUACCAGAACCAGAGACAUAUAUAUUGCAUCUAAUAUCUCUGCCAAAACUAAAAAAUAAACUACCGUAAGUCCACAUAAGAGGGUAUGGGUGUGAAUUAACAGAAUAGAGAACAAAGGACAAAGAAAAAAAAAGGAAUAAAGAAUAGUGAAAGAAAGAGAAUAAUGGAAAAAAGUGUAAGUUAUUAAAAAUAUAACUAAAAAAAAGAAGACAGAAAAAAAGACACCCCCUCCGAGACGAGCCUUACAUGCACUGUUAUUUGACGCUGCCGAGUUAUUUUGAGAUUAAGACAUGUAUUAGUAGUCAGCCCGUAAAGCCUCUUGCACCAAUUUGAGGAUUACCAAAGGUUAAUUUUACGGCUUAGAAAUAAACAUAAUUGACAAGUUUCCUUCCCCUGCACUCUCGAUCCCACGUGUAAAUAGCACGUACGGAAUUUCAAAUAAGACAUUGAUACAUUACAACACUUGCCGUCAGUAUUUGGAUAUAUUGAUUAAGAAGGUUGGCAGCAAGAUGAAAAGGACAAGUAUGCAGUUCAAAAUUCAAAAUGCGGAUGAGCUGAGGUUCAAUGUCUUACCUUUGCAGAUUUUCAUAUUUUGCAUGAAUGAAUUGAAAGGUUAUAUGAUGGACGGCAGAGAAAGAAAAAAACAACUUUUUAAUUAUCCUGCUCCUGGAUAAAUGUAAAACAUCUUGUUUUUAGAAGGAUUGAAAUUCACCACCUAGAAUAAAUGGAGAAAACAUAGAAACAAGACCAGAAUAAAUUCAAAGACAAAAGUUGGAUUGGUUAUUAUUUUCAUCACUCAGUCAAUGAUUUGAAGUUCUUUUGAAUACAAAAAAAUAUUGAAACCACAAUAAUGUCAAAGUUCUGUGCUGAAUGGUCAAAAAGUGGACUAUAACAUCAAACAAAGCUGGAUGAUAAGAAACUAUUAAUGUUUUGUGUUGAGGGAUAUUGUGAAAAAAAAAGAUUUACUUAAAUAGCUACUAGUAUGUUAAGCCUAACAAUAGAGGUUUUAUUGAUUUCAAAUGGUAAAUAAUUGUGUUUCAAGAAUUAGUAUUCUGUAAUUCAUGAAUAAACAUAUAUUGAUACUUACAUUAUCUGCUUUGUUGUUUAAAAGUUAAGCUUUGAACAGUUAUAGAACAAUAUGCUAAAUUAACAUUUCCCAAGAAAAAAAGAUAUUCAAUUAAAAAGAUUCAUAUUAUAAUAAUUUACUACCAAAUAGAAUACAUUGUAAC